rnacentral:lncRNA from 1 species
GUGGAACAUGAAAUUGAAAGUGAAGUGCCCAGAGUUUAAGAGAACGCCCUGCAGGCAGGGGGCAGAAUACACCUGUCACAGUGGGCUGUGGCUUCAGGAUGUCUGCAGUGAUCCAUGGGGUGGCGGCUGUUGGCAGGUUUCUUCGGGGGGUUAUCAAUAGGCUGAGGCCAAGCUCACACGAGGAAGAGUUCUACUGCGGCUAUGAGUGCACAGAAUGCCACAUCUACCGUGAGGAUGGUGAGCUCCACAGGAAGAGGUGUGUCUACUUUGGAAAGAAGAGAAGACAAAGAGAUGAGGACACCUCAAAUGGCAAGGGAAAUGUCAUCGAAGAUUUGCAGCUUCCAGUCUGCUCUCCGCUUCAGCCUGCGCUCUGCAACUGAGCCCGCUGGAUCUGCUGCUCCUCUAGUCAACAGAACAUGGGAAUUUGAGAUGGAUGUUAACAGAGAGGCCUGCCUAGGGCACAUGCGUCUGUGUGGGGGCACCCAUGCCUGGGGCCUUGGGGGACACCCUCCCUGUACCCCCCUGCACGUGAGCUCGUGGGUUGGAGGAACAAAUAUCUAGACGCUUAACCCUAACUCUUCAGUCACUGCUGCAUUUAAUAAACACGAGUGAGCAUUUCAUGUGUUCAAGACUCUCUUGCUGGCAGGAGGGGGACAAUGGGGAGCGUGACACAGUCUGUCCCCUCAAGGAAGUCCUGGGUCAGGAGAGAGGACGCCAUGGGCGGAGGUUCCCGCACACGGGGCAGCAUGAGGGACACACAGGAGGAGCACGGAGCUGCGUGAGAGUCACUCUGGCAGUGGCGCGGCAGGGAAGGGGACAGAGGGGACCAGGCCUGGCUGGGGAGGUGACAUCCGAGUGGGGCAUUAGAGGACAGUGACGGGUUCCUCUGUGUCACGAGGCCCCACACUGUGUGCAGGAGUUAUGGGGACAGUGGGCCACCCCCCAGACGAUCAGUCCUUACAUGUGCUGCUGCCACGGCUGGGACAGAACUCAGGAAGGUCCAGGGUGUCCGGAUCAGACAUCUCCAGGCGUGAGGCUAGUGUUGCACAGCGCUACUUGAAAAAUAUAAGGUCUCACUCCAGAGAGAGACGGCUGCGUCUAUGACUUGUGUGUUUACAGAGGAGAGUGUAAAUAAGGUUAUCCACGGAGAUCACCUGGCAUCCACGGUCACACUGUGACAGGUCACAGCAUCACCUGUCACGUGCUGGUGCUGUCUUGCUUUCCUUAGCUCCAGAAGGACUGCGAAGGUGUCUGCGGUUUUUAUUCGAUUGGGAUAUUUGGUUAAUAAAUACACAACAUG